CUCAGGAUGAACGCUAGCGGCAGGCUUAACACAUGCAAGUCGAGGGGUAUGCUUCUUCGGGAGCAGAGACCGGCGCACGGGUGCGUAACGCGUAUGCAAUCUACCUUUUACAGAGGGAUAGCCCAGAGAAAUUUGGAUUAAUACCUCAUAGUAUAGUAGACUCGCAUCGAGAUUAUAUUAAAGUCACAACGGUAAAAGAUGAGCAUGCGUCCCAUUAGCUAGUUGGUAAGGUAACGGCUUACCAAGGCUACGAUGGGUAGGGGUCCUGAGAGGGAGAUCCCCCACACUGGUACUGAGACACGGACCAGACUCCUACGGGAGGCAGCAGUGAGGAAUAUUGGACAAUGGGCGCAAGCCUGAUCCAGCCAUGCCGCGUGCAGGAUGACGGUCCUAUGGAUUGUAAACUGCUUUUAUACAGGAAGAAACACUGGUUCGUGAACCAGCUUGACGGUACUGUAAGAAUAAGGAUC
rnacentral:rRNA from 1 species